GACGAACGCUGGCGGCGCGCCUAACACAUGCAAGUCGAACGAGCGAGAGAGAGCUUGCUUUCUCGAGCGAGUGGCGAACGGGUGAGUAACGCGUGAGGAACCUGCCUCAAAGAGGGGGACAACAGUUGGAAACGACUGCUAAUACCGCAUAAGCCCACGGGUCGGCAUCGACCAGAGGGAAAAGGAGCAAUCCGCUUUGAGAUGGCCUCGCGUCCGAUUAGCUAGUUGGUGAGGUAAUGGCCCACCAAGGCGACGAUCGGUAGCCGGACUGAGAGGUUGAACGGCCACAUUGGGACUGAGACACGGCCCAGACUCCUACGGGAGGCAGCAGUGGGGAAUAUUGCACAAUGGGGGAAACCCUGAUGCAGCGACGCCGCGUGGAGGAAGAAGGUCUUCGGAUUGUAAACUCCUGUUGUUGGGGAAGAUAAUGACGGUACCCAACAAGGAAGUGACGGCUAACUACGUGCCAGCAGCCGCGGUAAAACGUAGGUCACAAGCGUUGUCCGGAAUUACUGGGUGUAAAGGGAGCGCAGGCGGGAAGACAAGUUGGAAGUGAAAUCUAUGGGCUCAACCCAUAAACUGCUUUCAAAACUGUUUUUCUUGAGUAGUGCAGAGGUAGGCGGAAUUCCCGGUGUAGCGGUGGAAUGCGUAGAUAUCGGGAGGAACACCAGUGGCGAAGGCGGCCUACUGGGCACCAACUGACGCUGAGGCUCGAAAGUGUGGGUAGCAAACAGGAUUAGAUACCCUGGUAGUCCACACCGUAAACGAUGAUUACUAGGUGUUGGAGGAUUGACCCCUUCAGUGCCGCAGUUAACACAAUAAGUAAUCCACCUGGGGAGUACGACCGCAAGGUUGAAACUCAAAGGAAUUGACGGGGGCCCGCACAAGCAGUGGAGUAUGUGGUUUAAUUCGACGCAACGCGAAGAACCUUACCAAGUCUUGACAUCCCUUGACAGGCAUAGAAAUAUGUUUUCUCUUCGGAGCAAGGAGACAGGUGGUGCAUGGUUGUCGUCAGCUCGUGUCGUGAGAUGUUGGGUUAAGUCCCGCAACGAGCGCAACCCUUAUGGUCAGUUACUACGCAAGAGGACUCUGGCCAGACUGCCGUUGACAAAACGGAGGAAGGUGGGGAUGACGUCAAAUCAUCAUGCCCUUUAUGACUUGGGCUACACACGUACUACAAUGGCGUUAAACAAAGAGAAGCAAGACCGCGAGGUGGAGCAAAACUCAGAAACAACGUCCCAGUUCGGACUGCAGGCUGCAACUCGCCUGCACGAAGUCGGAAUUGCUAGUAAUCGUGGAUCAGCAUGCCACGGUGAAUACGUUCCCGGGCCU
rnacentral:rRNA from 1 species